rnacentral:rRNA from 1 species
AUUGAACGCUGGCGGCAUGCCUUACACAUGCAAGUCGAACGGCAGCACGGGAGCAAUCCUGGUGGCGAGUGGCGAACGGGUGAGUAAUAUAUCGGAACGUGCCCAGUCGUGGGGGAUAACGUAGCGAAAGCUACGCUAAUACCGCAUACGAUCUAUGGAUGAAAGCGGGGGAUCGCAAGACCUCGCGCGAUUCGAGCGGCCGAUAUCAGAUUAGGUAGUUGGUGAGGUAAAGGCUCACCAAGCCGACGAUCUGUAGCUGGUCUGAGAGGACGACCAGCCACACUGGGACUGAGACACGGCCCAGACUCCUACGGGAGGCAGCAGUGGGGAAUUUUGGACAAUGGGCGCAAGCCUGAUCCAGCAAUGCCGCGUGCAGGAUGAAGGCCUUCGGGUUGUAAACUGCUUUUGUACGGAACGAAACGGCGAGCUCUAAUACAGCUUGCUAAUGACGGUGCCGUAAGAAUAAGCACCGGCUAACUACGUGCCAGCCGCCGCCGUAA